rnacentral:rRNA from 1 species
UACAGAGGGGGCAAGCGUUGCUCGGAAUUACUGGGCGUAAAGGGCGCGUAGGCGGAUAUUUAAGUCGGGGGUGAAAGCCCGGGGCUCAACCUCGGAAUUGCCUUCGAUACUGGAUAUCUUGAGUUCGGGAGAGGUGAGUGGAAUGCCGAGUGUAGAGGUGAAAUUCGUAGAUAUUCGGCGGAACACCAGUGGCGAAGGCGACUCACUGGCCCGAUACUGACGCUGAGGCGCGAAAGCGUGGGGAGCAAACAGG